UGCAUUUGCUUCCGGAUUAUGGAAAGACACUGGAUGUAGGCAUUGAGGCUGAACUAGCAUAAGAAUCUGCCUUUGAUUUCUCUAUCCCUAUACUUUUACUUUAAGUCGACUUUACUGCUUUCAGAGUCAACUUCGUAUUUUCCGCUGCACUUAGUAUUUUCAUACCUUGUGAUUCAAGAAACUUUGCAAAAGUUUAUACCACCAUCGCUAACAUCAACGUCGCAACCACUGUCGUCAUCGCCGCCACCACUAGGACCAC
rnacentral:lncRNA from 1 species